CCUACCCAAUGGGCUCCUAACAUUUCAAACUCACUGCUUUGGCUUUCUAUAUGUUAUUUUAACUUUCACUUUAGGAAGACACAGAAUAUACCCCCACUCUCCUUCCCUAAGUGCCAAGGUGAAGAAGAGAAGAUCACAAUGGAUCCCCAGGUGGGAAAUAUGAUGAGGAAUAUCAUUGGCCUAUGGACAACGUCAUAUUUCUUGUCUACAUAUUACUUAUUUAUUUACAGAAAACGUUUUGAGAAACGGGC